CCAGGCUCUUUCCACUACGCUCUUCUCCAGCGAGGAGCGUAGUGGAAAGAGCCUGGGU
rnacentral:miRNA from 1 species